AAAUGUUCGACUAAAACCAUUUAGUUCUCAAAUUGAUUUAGUACCUUCUAUUAUUGGAUAGUUUAACUGAUGUUAAUUAUGAUGAAUUAGAACACUUUCCAGCUUCCUUCACUAUUUUGGAUAAUCAAAUUUAUCUGACAUGAGUAGGUAUGAAAGGCUGAAACAAGAACAAGCCCAUACAAAAUCAGGAAGUGGUCGGCAAUUCUUCUGCUUUAUUAUGUGUGCUUCUAUUGAAAUUUGAUUAAAAGGAAAUCAUUUCCUUCAGAAAAAAAUAUCAACCCAUGAGCAAGGCAAAUGUUUCGGAUUUCUCAACUCACCACCAGUAAAUGCCCUUGUUUGGGUGUGGAUGGGUUUGGUAUCUCAUCAACUGAUGAAUGAAUUUGAGCAAUCCAGUGAUGUAACAUCCUCGAGAUUUUUAGAGACACAUCUACCGAUAUGUUUCUUCUGAUUAGUCCUAGUUUAAUCCAAAUAACAUCAUCAAAUGCAACAAACACACUGUCUAUGGAUGGAUUUGGGCUCAUAGACUCUCUUCAAGAUUUUGGUAUUGGUGGACAUGAAGAUUUGAAGUCCUAACCAGAGGAAAUGUUGCUACUUUUCUUUUUCCUCCUAACUACAAACAGUUCAUAGGUUCAGCAAGUCACUCCUCUUGCCAUGGUUGCUUUCGUCACCAGUAGGAACUAACCAACUCUCUUUUUCACAUCAAGAAUUUUAUAGUCUUAUGCUACUACAAUGGUGCCUGAAAGAAACUGGGAAAGCUGGCUGUUGACCUAAGAUUUCUCAACUCUCGUUCCUUGAAUAUAGCUAAAAGAGAUUAGAUUAAAUCAAACUAAAAUUAUAUAGGGUGUGAUUAGACGUUAGAACAAUAUAUAAAAAAAUCAAAUGUGAGUAGUCAAAUAUUACAUUCUUAUAUUUAUCAUAUUGAAAAUACAAAGCCAUAUAAUUUUAUCAACUAAACCACCAUUAAAAUCUCAAACUUUUUUACACUUAACCACACACAUGCAUGCGCACACACAUUUGAAUGACUCACAGAUAGAACAUCCCCAUCUAUCUUAAUAUCCUCUUCCAUGCUGAUGCUGCUUUCAUGUUGCAUAGAAGGUCUAUCAGUGUCCAUGGUAUUGAACACAGUUUUUGAAUUUUGUUGAUUGUUUUGUCCUGAGUAGGUCAUAUAAUGCUCAAAUUGAUGACUCAUGUAUCGUUCCUGACAUCAAUAAAAGUACGAGUCUCAGCUUCAGAAUUUAGUAAAUUUUGCAAUUAUGGGUAACAUAA